rnacentral:tRNA from 1 species
GUUCAAGUCCCACUAUCCCCAAUAA